rnacentral:sRNA from 1 species
GGAUGUGAGGGCGAUCUGGCUGCGACAUCUGUCACCCCAUUGAUCGCCAGAGUUGAUUCGGCUGAUCUGGCUGGCUAGGCGGGUGUCCCCUUCCUCCCUCACCGCUACAUGUGCGUCCCUCCCGAAGCUGCGUGCUCGGUGGAAGAGGACGACCAUCCCAGAUAGGAGUGUGCCGUUCUUCGGUCAAGGGUAUACAACUU